CUUGGGUUCCGACAGAUGUACACUCAGCAUGGCGGCAUCAACCCCUGGCACAAACCUGUGUUCUCUCCCCAUCCCUUUCUCCCAGUCCUCGCCCCCACCCUGGUCCUGCUCCAGGGCUGCUGUCCACACCUCUGUCCGCCACCCUCUUUCCAUGGCCCCAGCUGCAAAGCAGACAUCUGCUGCCUCCCCUCUGUGUCCUGUGAGGGGACACUCUCUCUGUGACACUCUGUCCUGUGACCCACUCUGUCUCUGUCCCUCUGAUUGUCACCAAGAUUCACCAGACAUUGCCGCUGGCUAGCUACUUUAAUGAUGGGAAAGGUGGCGUAUCUUGGCAGCUGAAAAGGUAGCUUUCAGUGAGACUUUGAGACUACAGAUUACUGAAGGAUGAUUCACUGAGAACCUGG
rnacentral:lncRNA from 1 species